ACUAUUUCUGAAACAGCCAAUUGUGGGAGAGCAGUUGAGACUUUGAUGUCUGAGGUUCUCCCAUUUCAACACUUGGUAUAAAAAUUGCAGGCAAGGGGCCUGGUCUCUGACUGCAUCAAAUGACCAACGGUCUGAGUAUGAGGCACAUCAGGGGCAGAACAAGAGAAGAGAAAGUACGGUGAUGUGGCUGCCCAGCAGGAGGAAGUGUUUUCUGAUCGGUUGGUGAACAACCUCUAAACAGGGACAAGAACCUGAGCAGAAAACCGCUGAACCCAGAGUGCAUUCUGAACAUUUCUCAAAAUAAUAGCUUACAUUUGUUUUUUUCUGAGCGCUAACCAAGUGACACUCACUUGUCAUCCAUUUAUGUGUUCCCGCUGGGUCACAGCAGCCUCAACUAAUGCAAAUCAAUUGUUGCCUCUGUAUAUCCCAUUCCCGACCUGGCCCUUUUAGGAGCUUCCACCUUACUGCUAACUGGGGGACAGCAAGUUAGUAUCUUGUCUCUUCUGAAUCCUUUUGGAAGUGUUGUAACUGGCUAAAGCAGCCCGCACGUGGGACUGAAUCACUUUGGAACCCCCCUCAGCCUUCUCUUGAAUCAAACAGUUCCAUUUCAUGUACAGGUCCCAUCAGUUUGAAAUGAAGCCCUGCCUAGGCUCACACUUGGCCUUUCUGAGUUCUGCCACCACCACCUCCUUCCCAAGCUUGUGGCUAGCUUCAUAAUGUGGCUUCCUGGGGAGAGGACCAGUGGGACAGAGUCUCAGCUCUGUGUCCAGGGUCCUUGGGUAGCAAUGGAACUGCUAUGCACUGAAUGUUUGUGUUUAUAUGUUGAAGCUCUAAUCCCCAGAGUGACUGUCUAUAUUUGGAGAUGGGGCCUCUAAUAAAGUAAUUAAGGUUAAAUGAAGUCAUAGGGUGGGGCCCUGAUCUGAUGGAAUUAGUGUCCUUAUUAGAAAAGACUCCAGAGCCUCCUCUGUCUCUGCCUCUGCCUCUGCCUCUGUCUCUGUCUAUGCCUCCGCCUCUGUCUCUGUCUCUGUCUCUGCCUCUGCCUUUCUCUGAGACCAUACAAGGAAGAGCACACAGUGAGAUGAUAGCAGCCUACAAGCCAAGAGAAGAGACCUCAGAAUGAAACCUACUCUUCCAGCACCUUGAUCUUGGACAUCUCAACCUCCAGAACUGUCAGCUCACCCAGACAGCUUCCUCCAGCUCUGAAACAGAUCGAUCGAGCACCAGAUGAAGUUGACAUGGAUGGGAGAUGUGAUGUACAAGAGAAAAGCAAAAAUUACUUGAGAUCUCUCCCCGAAGUCAAAAGUAAUGGGACAGGCAGACCCUCCUGAAAUUCUGAGCAGAAAUUGCUGCUACAUUUGAAUCAGAUUCUAAGAGAUCAUCAACAUUAGAAUGUGCACAUCGUAAUUCAAAUCUCUGAAGAGGAAGAAGGAGGAUAUUGACUUCAGUCUUCAUUUGGUCCUGUUAUGGGACUUCCAGACACUGAAAAAACUCAUCCCUACAGCCGGCUGGAGGAUAUUGUCCUGGAAGGGGCAGCUUUCACCUAUGGUUUGAAUUCAAUUAGCCAGCUCCUCUGAGAGCCACUAGAGUACCAUUUAGGACAUUGCUUCUUGAAUUCUCAUUUGCAGCCUUGCAAAUAAUUUUCAAAGGUCAUUAGACCAUAAGGAGUUUUCAUUACCCUUCAUUCAUGUCAACAGCAAACACUUACUGAUCGAGCGUCUACUUGGUGCCCUAUGCUAGAUGCUUCCAGGUGCAUCCAAAAAGGGAUGCAGUACAAAAAGUUAAAAUGACUAGAAGCAGCAACACAUGGAAGGUAAAAAUCUUUCUAAUAAGAGCAAUGGAAGAAACAUUUCUACAAAUGUUAAGUUGUAAGUCAAAUGUUUUUAAAAAGAAAGAAAUGACAAAUUUGAUUAGACAAAAAUGAGAAACUGCUUGCUGUGGUCUCAAUGUGUCCCCCCAGAUUCAUAUGUUAAACCUUAAUUGCCAAUGGGAGAGUAUUAGGAGGUAGGGACUUUAGGAGGUGAUUAAGUCUCUGCCUUCAUGAAUGGGAUUAGUGUCCUUAUAAAAGAGGUGCAAGGAAGCUGCCCAUCCAUUCCACCACAUAAGGAUGCAUCCAAAGGUGCCAUCUGUGAAGCAGAGAAUGCCCUCACUAGACAUCAAACUAGACGUCAAACCUAAAUUGGCCUUGAUCUUGGGCUUCCCAUCCUCCAGAACUGUGAGCAAUAAAUUUCUAUUUUUUAUAAAUUAUCCAGUCUAAGGUAUCUUGUUAUAGCAGCCCAAACAUACUGAGGCACUCUUGAAUGUCAAAAGACACUGUAAACAAAAUUUAAAAGGCGAAUUGCAAAAUGGGGCAAAUAUUUAAAACCAUAAAGGGUAAGAUCCUUUAUGAAAGCGUCAUAUAGCUCAAUAAAGGAAAAACAGUCCAACAGAAACAUGGUUCUAGAACAUAAGCCCUUCACAGAAGAAAUACAAAUCACUGACAGACAUACAAAAUGCCAAGAAUAGCUAAUAUUUAAAGAAAUACAAUAAAAAUAAUGAAACAUUUAAGCCUGUCACAUUUUCCUCUUCUUUUUCGUUCUCUUAUUCUUUUUUUUAAGAUUCAAAGCCGUUAGUGAAAGCACAUGAAACACAGUGAAGUGGAGUUGGAGGUGCCGGUCAUUGCCUGCCUGUUCAUGCCCUGUUCUAGGUAAUCUGUCCUCUUCCCAGCCUACCCACCUAUUACUUCUCUGACCUACAUUCACCAUGGAGAGCAGCUCAUCAGCAAGGGCCCGGAGUGUGGGGCCAUACACUCUAGCAAAGCAAAGGCUCCCGGGAGCUGAGUGAAAGAACUCAGAGCCUUGCAGAGAAGCUACUCACCCACUAACCAGAGGUUGGAGCAGAGGAGAUGGCUGCAGAGACAACACACACAGACAUAGCGCCUGGGCUUUGUAGGUGGGCAAGGCCAGGCUGUGCUUCCUCCAGUUGGAGGCACUGAGCUCCCCCAACAAGCCUACAAUGGACCCUGCAUCUCACCUGAGCUGCUUUGAGCUGGGCUCUGUUUUAGCCACUGACAGAGCCGUGCUCCUGCGUUGCUAGGGGUACAGCACAUUGGUGGAACUUUUCCAGGGCACGUGGCAAUUUGUAUUAGCAGCUUUCAGUUGGGAGUUGUUUUUCAACUCAGCAAUUCCCAGUAAGGGAAUUUAUCAAAGAUAUGACUAAAGAUUUGUGUCCAGGGACACUUACUGAAAUGUUAUUUUUUAUUAGUGAAAAAUUGGAAACAACUUAAAAGCCCCACAGGAAGGAAAUAGUUUCUCUCCAUAAGAUGGUAUACAAAGGUCAUGGUAACAUACCCACGGUGUGGUCUUGCAAAGCCUGCUGCUGAAAAAGCGAAAUAAUAUGAACCCUAAACUGGCAGAAGAUGAUGCUUUUAUGCAUAAAAAACACUGAAAGUGUGUCAUCUAAAAUCUAUUAAUCUUUUAUUUUGAAAUAAUAUCACUUGUAUAGGUAAGUUGCAAAACCAGUACAAGCAGUGCUCAUGUGUCUUCACCUCAGCUCAACAAUUGUUGACACUUCGCAACAUUUGAUUUAUUGUUCUCUCUCCAACAUACACAUUCACUCACAUAUAAUUCUUA